UACGAAGGGGGCUAGCGUUGUUCGGAAUUACUGGGCGUAAAGCGCACGCAGGCGGCUCGAUAAAUUAGAAGUGAAAGCCCCGGGCUUAACCUGGGAAUUGCCUUUAAGACUGUCGGGCUAGAAUCCAGAAGAGGGUAGUGGAAUUCCGAGUGUAGAGGUGAAAUUCGUAGAUAUUCGGAAGAACACCAGUGGCGAAGGCGACUACCUGGUCUGGCAUUGACGCUCAUGUGCGAAAGCGUGGGGAGCAAACAGG
rnacentral:rRNA from 1 species